rnacentral:rRNA from 1 species
UAGCUUAGUGGCGAACGGGUGAGUAACACGUAGGCAACCUGCCCAAAAAGAGGGGGAUAACACUUGGAAACAGGUGCUAAUACCGCAUAACCAUGAACACCGCAUGAUGUUCAUGUAAAAGACGGCUUUUGCUGUCACUUUUGGAUGGGCCUGCGGCGUAUUAACUUGUUGGUGGGGUAACGGCCUACCAAGGUGAUGAUACGUAGCCGAACUGAGAGGUUGAUCGGCCACAUUGGGACUGAGACACGGCCCAAACUCCUACGGGAGGCAGCAGUAGGGAAUCUUCCACAAUGGACGAAAGUCUGAUGGAGCAACGCCGCGUGAAUGAAGAAGGCCUUCUGGUCGUAAAAUUCUGUUGUCAGAGAAGAACGUGCGUGAGAGUAACUGUUCACGUAUUGACGGUAUCUGACCAGAAAGCCACGGCUAACUACGUGCCAGCAGCCGCGGUAAUACGUAGGUGGCGAGCGUUGUCCGGGUUUAUUGGGCGUAAAGGGAACGCAGGCGGUCUUUUAAGUCUGAUGUGAAAGCCUUCGGCUUAACCGAAGUAGUGCAUUGGAAACUGGAAGACUUGAGUGCAGAAGAGGAGAGUGGAACUCCAUGUGUAGCGGUGAAAUGCGUAGAUAUAUGGAAGAACACCAGUGGCGAAAGCGGCUCUCUGGUCUGUAACUGACGCUGAGGUUCGAAAGCGUGGGUAGCAAACAGGAUUAGAUACCCUGGUAGUCCACGCCGUAAACGAUGAGUGCUAAGUGUUGGAGGGUUUCCGCCCUUCAGUGCUGCAGCUAACGCAUUAAGCACUCCGCCUGGGGAGUACGGUCGCAAGACUGAAACUCAAAGGAAUUGACGGGGGCCCGCACAAGCGGUGGAGCAUGUGGUUUAAUUCGAAGCAACGCGAAGAACCUUACCAGGUCUUGACAUCUUCUGACAAUUCCAGAGAUGGAACGUUCCCUUCGGGGACAGAAUGACAGUUGGUGCAUGGUUGUCGUCAGCUCGUGUCGUGAGAUGUUGGGUUAAGUCCCGCAACGAGCGCAACCCUUAUUGUCAGUUGCCAUCAUUAAGUUGGGCACUCUGGCGAGACUGCCGGUGACAAACCGGAGGAAGGUGGGGAUGACGUCAAAUCAUCAUGCCCCUUAUGACCUGGGCUACACACGUGCUACAAUGGACGGUACAACGAGUCGCUAACUCGCGAGGGCAAGCUAAUCUCUUAAAGCCGUUCUCAGUUCGGAUUGCAGGCUGCAACUCGCCUGCAUGAAGUCGGAAUCGCUAGUAAUCGCGAAUCAGCAUGUCGCGGUGAAUACGUUCCCGGGCCUUGUACACACCGCCCGUCACACCAUGAGAGUUUGUAACACCCAAAGUCGGUGGGGUAACCUUUUGGAGCCAGCCGCCUAAGGUGGGACAGAUGAUUGGGGUGAAGUCGGAACAAGGUA